AACGAACGCUGGCGGCAGGCCUAAAACAUGCAAGUCGAACGCUCUAGCAAUAGAGAGUGGCGCACGGGUGAGUAACACGUGGGAAUGUGCCUUUUGGUACGGAACAACUUUUGGAAACGAAAGCUAAUACCGUAUGGUCCCUUCGGGGUAAAGAUUUAUCGCCAAAAGAGCAGCCCGCGUCUGAUUAGCUAGUUGGUGAGGUAAUGGCUCACCAAGGCGACGAUCAGUAGCNGGUCUGAGAGGACGAUCAGCCACACUGGGACUGAGACACGGCCCAGACUCCUACGGGAGGCAGCAGUGGGGAAUAUUGGACAAUGGGCGCAAGCCUGAUCCAGCGAUGCCGCGUGUGUGAAGAAGGCCUGCGGGUUGUAAAGCACUUUUCAGUAGGGAAGAAAAGCCGAGUGCUAAUAUCAUUCGGUCUUGACGUUACUUACAGAAGAGCACC
rnacentral:rRNA from 1 species